GUUAAACAGACAAUAUGAGCUAAAACAUGCAUUUUAUUUCCCACGUCAGCUCAAUGUGCCCCUGCACAUAUAAUAUAAAUGUUUAUACAAACUUUUUUUCUCCCUUCAGUCGCUGUGAAUGCCAAUGUGAGUUCUAACGACUCACAUCUGAGUGACUCACCCCACUUCCCUCCAUGAAUUAGUCAGACUGAGUAGCCCAGCAGCCAUCCUCUAUUUUGCAACGUGAACUUGACUCUGAACCAGGUAAGAUUUUGUGACUUGUGCGAGUCCAGGGCCACUGUUUUUGUAACAGUUGGGCUCAAAGCAACCUACAAACCCUUUAGAAAAAUUAACAUGCACUGUUGUGGAUAGGUGUAGCGCGGGAUCACGUGGUGUUAUUAGUGAUUGUAGAUCAGCUGUUGCUCACCUUUUGACUUUAGUGAGUGGAUGAUGGGGGAGGUUUACUUUUUGCUGACCGCCGUAUUAACGCAUGUUUUUGUCUUUGAUCACUGUUUAAACCUGCGGAUCCGGUUUUAAUGCUUCUUUGGACACUGUUCUGUUUUGGAUAUUGACAACAUAGACAAAAUAAAAGCAUCUUAAACUGCAUCCUGGAAUGGCGUUUUUGAUCAGCUGGCGCAUCAACAAGGAUUCCCCUAUUCAGCUGCUCGGCGACUUUGUUGGACAGUCGCUAAUAUGCACCAUUGCUAUUUUACUAUCGUCAAAGAACUCAUAAUAAAAAUCUAAUGUCAACAGCUCUUCCGAAGUUGAAUAUGCUUCUUUAAUUAGUCAUGCUUUGCAGAGGUCAGUUACAGCUUAACUGACAAUAUGUAACUUUUAUCAAAAAUGUUUUUACAUAUUUGUUAAUGACAUGUCAUGACAGUGUAAUAUGAGACGGAUUAUCUGUGAAAAGAUCAAGCUCCUCCACCUCCUCCAUGAGCUUUUAUUGCUGUCUGAUGUCGGGAGCACCACUUCUGACCAAAACAAGAAAGCAAGCAGUCAAUAGGACAUUAUUAAUAAUAA